rnacentral:rRNA from 1 species
UACGGAGGGUGCAAGCGUUAUCCGGAAUCAUUGGGUUUAAAGGGUCCGCAGGCGGUCUGAUAAGUCAGUGGUGAAAGCCUACAGCUCAACUGUAGAACUGCCAUUGAUACUGUCAGACUUGAAUUCGAUCGAAGUGGGCGGAAUGUGACAUGUAGCGGUGAAAUGCUUAGAUAUGUCACAGAACACCGAGUAGCGAAGGCAGCUCACUAGGUCGUGGAUUGACGCUCAGGGACGAAAGCGUGGGGAGCAAACAGG